rnacentral:lncRNA from 1 species
GCUCACGGCAUUUUGCACGGGAUAAUUUCUCCUUACCAGAUGUAGCAUGUCAAAGACGGCGGCUGAAAAAAAUGCAAUACCGACUGAAAGCCUGCCAAGGACGUCAUGUUCUGAUGAGAACAAGGAUGCUCAUAUGAAAGAGCUUUCACUGGCAAGACUUCGCCGACGUGCGUAUCGGUCAGCCAGAAAUGAAUCAAGCAAAGAAACUGCUGCUUCCCCAUUAGAAGCAAAGGUGUUGCCCCAUGCACCUGUCAGCACGACCACCAUGGUAAAUUGGCUGCCUGCAACUUGUGCACACAUUGCUUCACCACUAAUUCCUUGGGAUUAAACUCGGACAU